rnacentral:rRNA from 1 species
GACGAACGCUGGCGGCGUGCCUAAUACAUGCAAGUAGAACGCUGAAGGAGGAGCUUGCUUCUCUGGAUGAGUUGCGAACGGGUGAGUAACGCGUAGGUAACCUGCCUGGUAGCGGGGGAUAACUAUUGGAAACGAUAGCUAAUACCGCAUAAGAGUAGAUGUUGCAUGACAUUUGCUUAAAAGGUGCAAUUGCAUCACUACCAGAUGGACCUGCGUUGUAUUAGCUAGUUGGUGGGGUAACGGCUCACCAAGGCGACGAUACAUAGCCGACCUGAGAGGGUGAUCGGCCACACUGGGACUGAGACACGGCCCAGACUCCUACGGGAGGCAGCAGUAGGGAAUCUUCGGCAAUGGACGGAAGUCUGACCGAGCAACGCCGCGUGAGUGAAGAAGGGUGUCGGAUCGUAAAGCUCUGUUGUAAGAGAAGAACGAGUGUGAGAGUGGAAAGUUCACACUGUGACGGUAGCUUACCAGAAAGGGACGGCUAACUACGUG